GGCGGGGCGAGCACCCUCCCGCCCACGGGCCGCAGCGGGUGGCGGCGGUGCCCGGACGAGCGCCGAGGGAACCGCGGACGGGGCGGGGUCGGGCGGCGGAGCUGCGGCGGCUGCAGCUGCCGGGCCGGCAAGUGCGGGCUCGUCGACGUUCCCCGCCCAGCGCGGCGGCUCCAGGCGCGUCCCUGUGAGCGGCCUGCCCCGAGGCCUGCCCUUGGCUCGCGGCGCCUCUGAGGGCGGCGGGAACCGCCUCGGCUUCUCUGAGGAGGUCGUGUGGCGCGCGCGGCCGAGCGCCCAUCUGAGGGACGGCGCCGAGCGGCGGGAACGGGGCUGCGCGCCGCUGUCACUGCUCGUCUCCACAGCCUGGUGCCAGCUCCGUCCAGGGCCGCAUUGGUGGAAAAAUGUGUAUUUUUCACGAAACAUCAGAUGUAUAAAUGCUGUAUAUGAGAUACAGAGAUGCAUUUUCAUAUGUUUUGACAUUCGGUUAAAUUUAAUGCAUCUUUGUAAUUCUCAGAAGACAGCCGCUAAGAGUGAUGUGAACGCUGAACAUGUUUUCUGUGUUCAGACACUGAAGGGAGAUGACAUUCAGCAAACCGUGUUACAGUGCCAGUGCUCCGCAUGGACAAAACUCCGGAAUGCGCAGAGGUGUCCUGCAGUCGGGCCCGUGAGAAGCAAUUUGGGCACGGUGCCACCUGGCUGAGCAGCAGUGACUCCGCAGCAGACGAGCCAGGACUGGAAGCUGCCGGCUCCUUCUGCAGCACCCAGGUCCCAACUGCACAUCCUGGGAAGCUGGCUGGGUUCUCUAGCUAAAACACUGACCCCUUCCUCCUGCUGCAAAGGCUAUCGCUUCUUGCUUGAUUACAUCCAGAGGCAAAAGAUUAAUAGAAGAUGUCAUUAUAGAAAUGGAACUGUUUUCUAAUAGAAGUGAGGAGAAUAGCAACAGUAGAAAGUGAAGAAAGGGAUGUCAUGUCCCAUUUCUGCACAACUCCUUGCUCUGCAGUCCAGCACAACACACAUAGAAAGAACUAACUGGACUACGGGGUUGUAUCAGUUGACUUGAAAUUGUGAAACUCACCUCUGAAGAGAACAGGAUAACCAUAUAGACUGGAAGAAGGCUUGACUUCCUUCAAAAGACUUCCCUUCAGCUGAGGUUCAUCUGGAUGUUCACCAUCAUCUCCAAAGCAAACAAAUGAUCUCGUCUGAAUGGGAACCUGACUUGGGGAAAAUCUUCUCAAGCGAGGAAGACUAUCCACAGACCUUGGGGCAGUCAAGCCAUCUACGUAAGACAUUGAUGUGGACCUUCUGAUGACUCCUAAGCAAAAUUAACAUGGAAUCCAAGGCCAGAAGUACGAGAAGUCUGCUACCUCAAAUUCCAAUCUGUAGUUGGCAUGUUGUAAAGUGUCAUUACAAAUGCAUCAGGACCAAGGAGAACUGGAUUGUUUUAAACUCUGUGGAAAAGGCCCUUCUGCAUGAAGCCCAUGUUCUACAUGUUUGCCAAAUGUCCCACUACAGGUUAACAAAUGCAACAACAAUUCAAGUUGAAGUUUCCAGUAUGCCUUAUUUCCAGAUUAGAACAAAGAAGCAGGACAACCAGCCAACUAACACCCACUACUUCCCUUCAAAUAACGACUGAGGAGGGUUUAGUCCCUCCUGGGAGGGAAAUCCCUUGAACCAUUCACUGGUUGAACCUUCCUUUUCACUCCUCAUCGCCACUCCUUUUAAACCAGCCCGAUGGGAAGGUAGUCCCUGUGCUACCCUCUCCAUCCAUCUCCAAGUGCCUCACCAAGCACAGCCAGCUGCUCUUCUGGGUCCUUACAGAGCCCAGAUGCACACCUACAUAGGCUUACACAGGACAGCAGCCUGAUCUCCACUGCUGCCUUGAGAGGAGGGAAAGCUGCACAGCACUACUGGAUGAAGCCCAGUCCUUAAUUUCUAGGAUUAACCUAUGCAAUAUAUACAACCAACAUUCUUUUCAUAUCACAGAGGACGCAGUGCUCAUGGUAUCUUCUACUCCUGUUGUUAGCAAAGUCACCAACUACUUCACAUAGGUGUCUUGUAUUGUGAUGCAUCUCACACUGACUCCAUCAAAGAGCGCGUGCUAUGCUCUUUGUGCUUGACCACAUAGCACCAAGUCAGGACACCUAGUGCAGUUCCCUAAGGCAAACACUGUUGUACCAAGAACUCAAUUUUUUUUCUUGAAGCUUUUUCCAGCAACAUAUCAGUGGUUUGAUUCUUUUGUGUUAUUUCUGGCACCAUUAAGAGUGUAACAGACUUUUACACAAGAAGUGUCAUAGUGCCACCUACUGAACACUAUGAGUCACCCUGAAAAUAAAGAGAAAUUUUUGUUGAUUGACACCUGAAAGCACAAUGCUAA
rnacentral:lncRNA from 1 species